rnacentral:rRNA from 1 species
UACGUAGGGCGCAAGCGUUGUCCGGAAUUAUUGGGCGUAAAGAGCUCGUAGGCGGUUUGUCGCGUCUGCUGUGAAAACCCGAGGCUCAACCUCGGGCCUGCAGUGGGUACGGGCAGACUAGAGUGCGGUAGGGGAGAUUGGAAUUCCUGGUGUAGCGGUGAAAUGCGCAGAUAUCAGGAAGAACACCCGUGGCGAAGGCGGCUCUCUGGGACGGUACUGACGCUGAGACGCGAAAGCGUGGGGAGCGAACAGG